CUUAUUCCUGUGCUCACAGUUCAAUGUCUCUAGAUUAUAGGCGUUAUGAGGACAGAGUACUGGUUUACAGUACAAAAUUCCUGGGACAUAGAACACUGCCCAGCACAAAUAAUGAUUUGAUCAAUAAUUGUUGAAGGAAUAGACUAAAUGAAGGAACUGACAACUCAAGGGAAAGAGUAAUGACUCCAUGAAAGAGCCAAAAAAGAAGAAAAAAAGUGUUAUGUUGCUAGCUUGCCAGAUGAGGAGGAAAACAAAUGGUAUUCCAACUCAACGAAUGAGGAAACAAAACCUCAGAGAGGUUAAGUGAGUUUCCCAGAGCUACACAGCUCAUAAUGGCCAACCUGGGGCUCAGACAUGGGUCUCUGACUCCAAGUCCAACACUCUUCCCCUCUGUUGCACUGCCCAGGGGAAAAGCAGAGACUUUCCUGAAAACCUGAGGCACAGAAACAAUACAAACCCAUGAGAAAUAAUGAUAAUAAUGACCAA
rnacentral:lncRNA from 1 species